UUAGUUAGAGGUGACUUCUGCCUUUCCUACCGUAAAUAUUGCGACAGAGGAGAAUUCUGCAUCAGACCGGACUAUCGAGCAACAGUAAAUGUCCAGCGAAAUGGACGUGGCGUAGAUGUCAGCAGAAAAUGAAACUUUCGUGUCAUUCUAUGCCGUGCAAGAAUGGAGGGACCUGCCACAAUACAAAAACUUCAUACACGUGCACGUGUCAAAAUGGAGAUACUGGGCGAGAUUGAUCACUUAGAGGUGACUUCUGCCUUUCCUACCGUAAAUAUUGCGACAGAGGAGAAUUCUGCAUCAGACCGGACUAUCGAGCAACAGUAAAUGUCCAGCGAAAUGGACGUGGCGUAGAUGUCA